GCGCUCUGCGCGCACCGGCGGACGGCUCAGUAACACGUCGGUAACCUACCCUCGGGAGGGGGAUAACCCCGGGAAACUGGGGCUAAUCCCCCAUAGGCCUGGGGUACUGGAAGGUCCCCAGGCCGAAAGGGGCUCUGCCCGCCCGAGGAUGGGCCGGCGGCCGAUUAGGUAGUUGGUGGGGUAACGGCCCACCAAGCCGAAGAUCGGUACGGGCCAUGAGAGUGGGAGCCCGGAGAUGGACACUGAGACACGGGUCCAGGCCCUACGGGGCGCAGCAGGCGCGAAACCUCCGCAAUGCGGGCAACCGCGACGGGGGGACCCCCAGUGCCGUGGCACAGCCACGGCUUUUCCGGAGUGUAAAAAGCUCCGGGAAUAAGGGCUGGGCAAGGCCGGUGGCAGCCGCCGCGGUAAUACCGGCGGCCCAAGUG
rnacentral:rRNA from 1 species